UAGCUGAUAUGUAGAUGUGUGCGGGAUUUAAAUUUCCACAUUAAACAUUUAAACACACUCGUGUUACAAUGAAAAAACAGGAUGCAUUCUUUGAGAGAAGAGCUUCUUUUAACCUAGAAGAGUGUUGAUACACGGUACUUUUUCCUUCCCGUUUUUUUCAACAUGCUUGUUGCCAAGUGUGAACACAAAGGGACAAGCUGAAAUAGGUGUCUGGCAGGCUCUUCCCCGCGCCACACGGAGAGCCACCAGCCCUGCUGCUGUCGUUCAGCCCCGUCGCCUCCAGGCAGCCCGAGCGCAGCCCCGCGGCCGAGGCAGCCUUAGGCGUGAAGGCUGCUCCGGUCUGUGCAAGUUCAAAAUGGGAUACGUCCUAUUUAGAAUGUAGAGAGCGACUAAAUAUGACAACCAUCUGAUGUAUGAAAAUUAUUCACAACCAAAAACAGACAGUCUGGAAAUAGCUGGGAUGACUUCAUUUAGACAGAAUUGCCCGAAUCUGUUUCUAAUAUACACAGUACACAUAAUAAAUUUUUACAAUAUGACAAGGAAAACAAACUUAAUAAAAGUUCCUGAUCUUUUGUUACACAAGCAAGCUAUAGCCAUGAUAUGUUUAUAAUAUUUUGCCCAUGAUCUCACAGCUCAGAAACAAAAGCUAAGCAACGCACCAAACAGUCCCUAGGUAUGACUUCACCUCCCCGCGACCGUAAUUACACGGAUGCGCACACUGCCCCAGCCUUCCUCCUCCCACCGCCAUCGCCGCGGCCGCCUUCGACAACUCCUUGCAGUGCUGCUUUUGACUAAUCGCUUCCUUUUCUCCUUCUAGCAGGCACCAUUUGACUUGGGAAGCUGCAGAUUUCUAUUACGAGAGUUUGUUUUUUCCAAUUACACCAGGACUCAUCUGAACGGAAAACAGAUGAUGUCUUACGAUCACAGAAGGUAAUUUUUUCAAGAAGCAAACUUUUUGAGCAUUUCCCAGAUGCACCGCGUCAAUCUUGCUGCGUUCUCCUAUCUCAGCUGGUUUCCCAGCCCGGGCACGGUGCCAGGCGGGCCGGACUGCCCCUCGUUGUCACUUCUGUUCGAUGGCACUUGCACCCACUGCUGUUAUUCCAGGCUUCAGGAAAUUUUCUAACCGCUGGACAGGCUCCAGUGCUGCGCACUAAUAAGUUGCAGAUUGGAGAGCUCAGAGGGCGCGCGAGCAUGUGUGUGUGUGUGUGUGUGUCAGAGCAGUGCCACGGUUUGUGGGGGGGGGGGGAAA